GUGAUAGCUGGUUCUCCCCGAAAGCUAUUUAGGUAGC
rnacentral:sRNA from 1 species